AUUGAACGCUGGCGGCAUGCCUUACACAUGCAAGUCGAACGGCAGCACGGGAGCAAUCCUGGUGGCGAGUGGCGAACGGGUGAGUAAUGUAUCGGAACGUGCCCAGUCGUGGGGGAUAACGCAGCGAAAGCUGUGCUAAUGCCGCAUACGAUCUAUGGAUGAAAGCGGGGGAACGCAAGACCUCGCGCGAUUGGAGCGGCCGAUAUCAGAUUAGGUAGUUGGUGGGGUAAAGGCUCACCAAGCCGACGAUCUGUAGCUGGUCUGAGAGGACGACCGGCCACACUGGGACUGAAACCCGGACCAGACUCCUACGGGAGACAGCAGUGGGGAAUUUGGGACAAUGGGCGCAAGCCUGAUCCAGCAAUGCCGCGUGCAGGAUGAAGUCCCUCGGGUUGUAACCUGCUUUUGUACGGAACGAAAAGGCUCUGGUUAAUACCCGGGGCUCAUGACGGUACCGUAAGAAUAAGCACCGGCUAACUACGUGCCAGCAGCCGCCGUAA
rnacentral:rRNA from 1 species